UAACUCAUGUGUUUGACAAAGUUACCAAGGACUUACUUCUUUCUGUUAUUCUGCUUGCCAUUUUCCAUUUGUUGAUUUAUCUCCUCAGGCUGAGUCCCCUCAUGGUCUCAGAGAAGGCUUCAGCAAUUCCCGGCUUGAAACGUGGAAAACAUCCAGAGGCAGAAAGAAAGCCUAGUUUCCUUGCUUUUAAGAAGAAGAAGAAUAUUUCCCAGUAGCCCGUCAUCCAAGCUCUCCUCAUGUCCCAUUGACCAGGUUACAUCACCAACCCAUUCCUAAGUCAGUCACUGGAUGGGGGAAACAAUAACCUUGGGAGGAGCCCUGCUCCCCUGAAGUACAUACAUGCAAUACCUGAACGAAAUCAGAGACAGGAAGACAAUGGCAGCCAAGCAUGGCGGCAAUAUGUACCUCCUGAGGAGGAUUUUAAAUUCUUUAGGGUCAACUGUAAGUGGUAGAGUGGGGACUUGGAACCAGGUUAGUCUAAGUCUAUGUAUUUCCACCAAUGGUAUCUCACCACCUCUUUCUCCCAAUCUGAGGUUCCCUGAGUCUGGGAAUACGCUGGGGAGUGUGAUUUAAACCUGAGUUUCUCAAACCGUCCUUGGUAAAGAAUCCGAUUUUUAAAGAAGUUCAAUUCAUUAUGGAUCAACAUUUUAGUAAAAUACAAUCAAAAGAAUUACUAGGGAAGUAAUGAAAUGAAAAAUAAUGUAAAGAUAUACAGAAUGCGAGCCCCUGUUUUCAAUGAUUUGAUCUGACAAAAAAAUAUUCUAUCAGAUUACUAUAAAGGUUUUUUUUCAAUUUUCUUGAUGUUUAUUUAUUUAGUUUUGAGUGAGAGACAGAGCGCAAGCAAGAGAGGGGCAGAAAGAGAGAGAGAGAGAAGGAGACACAGGAUCUGAAGCAGGCUCCAGGCUCUGAGCUGUCAGCACAGAGCCCAACGCGGGGCUCAAACCACAAAAGGGGAGAUCAUGACCUGAGCCGAAGUUGGACAUUUAACCGACUGAGCCAUCCAGUCGCCCUGCUGUAAAGUUUUUUAAACUUCAUUUCUGUGCUGUUCUUGCCACAGACUGGUAGCAAACACUUCAUGGACCAGCAGUGGUCUUCCAGCCACACUGAGUGGUGCUGAUUUAGAUGAUUUUCUGCCUCCAUCCUCCUCCCUCAACAGCAACUCAAGAUACUUGAUGCUUGGAUGCCUCAGCUGAGAUGGGGGUGGGCGAAUUACCCAUUAUAAUUAUUGAGCCAAAUAUCAGAGGAAAAGGCUAAGUUUUUGCACUGCUGUUUUCUUGGGGACUUCUACUGUCACCAACAGAUUUCAUACUUGUGGUAACACUUUCUUGUUGUUGAUUUUCUAUUUACCUGCUAUGUAGGAAAGAGAUUGAGCACAAUAGUAAGGCAGUAGUCCCUCCUUCUCCACAGGGGGUACAUUCCCACACCCCCAGUGGGUGCCAGAAACUGCAGGCCGUACGGAGCCCUAUAUAGACUAUGUUUUCUUCCUAUACAUAAUACCUAUGAAAAAGUUUAAUUUAGAAAUCAGAAAUAGUAAAGGAUUAACAACAAUAACUGAUAACAGAACAAUUAUGACAAUAUGCCGCGAUAGAAGUUAUGUGAAUGUAGUCUCUCUCAAAAUAUCUCACUGUACUGUUCUUCUUGUGAUGAUGUGAGAUGACACAAUGCCCAUGUGAAGAGAGGAAGUGAGGUGGAUGACACGGGCAUCGUGAUGUAGCUCUCGGUUGCUGUUGACCUUCUGGCAAUCUGUCAGAAGGAGGAUCAUCUGCUCCUGUACCACGGUUGACCACGUGUAACCAAAACCACAGGAAGCACAACCAUGGAUAAGAGGGGACAACUGUCUGUGAAAUAGAAAAGACUCAGGGGAUAAAGACCCUGCGUAUCAUAGGAAAGACCUGUUUGGAGAUUUGCUGGAGGUGACCAGUUGGAUCACUGGCUCUGGGGAAGACAGCUGUUGUGUUGUGUUAUGUUGUGGAGACACCAAAGAAGCCCCACAGAAAGGACCACAUAGCAAGGAACCAAGGCCACCUGCCAGUCGCCAGUGAGGAACUAAGUCCUCGUGCCAUGGCAGAAAUCGAUGCUGUGGAGGAAAAGAGAAAGCGUUCAUGCCGUGGGCUCCCAGCUCCCGUGUCCACAGCACUUGGGGGACAAGCUGGGAGCACGAAGAAGGAGUUAGACUCAUCUUGGAUACCUAACCCCCACAGCGCCUGGGGAGAACUGAGCCCUCUGUCACCCUGGCCCACUAGACAGAGAGGAAACAGCCCAGGGAGAUGAAAAGUGCUUCUCCAGGAGCCUCUCUGAGAUGUUUGCCAAGCUUGCAUGAAAACCCAGGGGAUGGAGCCUGGAGCUUCCUCUUCGAACACCACAGUGCUGACAAGUGCUGAGCCAGCCAUUCUGUCCUUUCCUGCUUCCCUGUCCUGUCCCUCUUCUUCAGUUCCAGCCACCAAGGACCGUUUCUAAGUCCUCCAAGGAAGAGAGAUGCAGAGACUUAGUCAUGCUGACCAAAACCUUCGCAUGGUCCCGUCCUACAAAUAGAGACCAACCAGUUCCCCAAUUAUCAGCGAGAGAACAGAGGAAACCAGAGAAAGAAAUGAGCAAGAGACAGAACUCUAGUGCCUUCGGAGAGUCCUCCCGCCAGGCUGUCUCUGCUUCUCCGGGUGUGAGUGGGAAGAGGCCGCCGAGCCCCGAGGGGAAGAACUGAUCCGCACUCACACAGCGCCGCAGUCUCAGCCGGAGGGUCUUCAGCUUUUCUCCCAGGGAGUUCACGUGCUGUUUGAUGUCUGGGUCCUCGUUCUCAGCCUGGGGCAUCACCUCCUCCAAGUAAAACUGGAUCAUCUCGGACAACGCUUGGCAACCCAGCAAAGGAAGCAGACCCAGCUCCCGGCCUCCCUUCUCUGAGUCACGCUGCAAGCUCGCCUCCCACACACCCCCCGGCCCUCACCUUAAAGUCCUCCAGCAAGGACCUAGUCAACAAUAUGCUGUGCAGCUCGUCCUUGGUUUGCUGCAAGAAGAACAAAAGGAGAGUGAGCCCGAGGUUUGAGGAAAUAACUGAAAUAAAUGUCUUUCUGAUGCCCUCUUA